ACGCACGCUGGCGGCGUGCUUAACACAUGCAAGUCGCACGGAAAGGCCCUGCUUUUGUGGGGUGCUCGAGUGGCGAACGGGUGAGUAACACGUGAGUAACCUGCCCUUGACUUUGGGAUAACUUCAGGAAACUGGGGCUAAUACCGGAUAGGAGCUCCUGCUGCAUGGUGGGGGUUGGAAAGUUUCGGCGGUUGGGGAUGGACUCGCGGCUUAUCAGCUUGUUGGUGGGGUAGUGGCUUACCAAGGCUUUGACGGGUAGCCGGCCUGAGAGGGUGACCGGCCACAUUGAGACUGAGAUACGGCCCAGACUCCUACGGGAGGCAGCAGUGGGGAAUAUUGCACAAUGGGCGGAAGCCUGAUGCAGCAACGCCGCGUGCGGGAUGACGGCCUUCGGGUUGUAAACCGCUUUCGCCUGUGACGAAGCGUGAGUGACGGUAAUGGGUAAAGAAGCACCGGCUAACUACGUG
rnacentral:rRNA from 1 species